ACGCUCGACACCUACGGGGGCAGCAGUGAGGAAUAUUGGUCAAUGGGCGCUAGCCUGAACCAGCCAAGUAGCGUGAAGGAUGAAGGCUCUAUGGGUCGUAAACUUCUUUUAUAUAAGAAUAAAGUGCAGUAUGUAUACUGUUUUGUAUGUAUUAUAUGAAUAAGGAUCGGCUAACUCCGUGCCAGCAGCCGUGGUAAUCUGAGCGGGCUGGCAAGGC
rnacentral:rRNA from 1 species